GCGGCGUGCUUUAAGCAUGCAAGUAGAACGGGACUAGUAGCAAUACCAGUCAAGUUGCGAACGGCUGAGUAAUGAGUAAGAAUCUUUCCUUUGGUGGGGAAUACCUCGUCGAAAGACGAGCUAAUACCGCAUAACAUCUCCGGAUAAAAGCGAUUAACCUCGCGCCGAUUGAGGAGCUUACUACCCAUCAGGCAGUUGGUAGGGUAACGGCCUACCAAACCUACGACAGGUACCCGAUCUGAGAGGAUGAACGGGCAGAAUGGGACUGAGAAACGGCCCAGACUCCUACGGGAGGCAGCAGUGGGGAAUAUUGGACAAUGGGCGAAAGCCUGAUCCAGCCAUGCCGCGUGAGUGAUGAAGGCCUUAGGGUUGUAAAGCUCUUUCGCCGGGGAAGAUAAUGACGGUACCCGGAAAAGAAGCCUCGGCUAACUCCGUGCCAGCCGCCGCCGUAA
rnacentral:rRNA from 1 species